ACAGGGCCGCAGAUGGAGACU
rnacentral:miRNA from 1 species